AUGGCGGCCUUCGAAGUCGAUCUUUCAAGAUGAAUAUCUUCAGGAUAGCGGACACUUCAGAGGCCGGAACUUCAGUGAGCUGAAUGUUUACUUGCUAUAGGCGAAGACUGAAAAAUUUAAACAGGCGCUGCAUUUGCGGCACAUAGAUGGAUUAUCGACAGCUCUUUUGGCGACAAUGUUCGUCUUUUGCGACCCACUUAGAGGGAAUUGCGUAGAUGUUGGUUUAACAAUCAAGCCAUCAGCAAGCCGAUAUGGACUAUUUGUAGCCAGCAAAUCCUGUUCAACUGCUGUUAAACGAGAAUCAAAUCGAUUCAAAGAAUAGCAAGUGAAACCAAGUGAAGCCAACGUCAGAAUUAAAUUGAAUGACAAGCCAAAGAGGACAACAGACGAUCCCUUUGCUCCCUUGGUCUCCAUGUUCGCUUAUUUCCUUGUACAAGAGAUUGAACGACUGACCGAUGCUUUAGCUUACUUAUAUCGCUGAGAAUACUCAAAGGAAUGUUGACCUUGCCUGAAUAUCGUUACAGUUUUAGUUGGCAUUUCCGCUCUAUUGAGGCACUAACAGCUAACGCUUUGGGAAGAGGUGCAAUCAGAGCUGGACUAAUCUGAUACCAUAAUUAUUAGUUUGUUCACCUUCCGUGGAAACUAAACGAUGAAAAGCUUUUACGGUGUUUUGUUCUGCACGUACAAUUUCAUAGUAAAUCAGCGAGUCAAGUCGUGUUUGCUAAUGACCAGUACUAGCUGACUGUUUUAAUUCGUUGUCACUUCUGGAGGUUAAAGCGACAAAUGAUGUCCAAAGAGCAGCAAGUUCCAGAUAACUGUUAAACAGCCAUUGUUAUUGAUGAAACUUCCUUGUUAGCUAACUUGACUCAGUAAUAAACGAUGUGCUUUAAUAUAGUUCGCAAGUUCCCUUUUAACAUAUUUCCCGAUGUUGUUGUUUUCCGAUGCUACAGAAUAGUAGAAAGAGAAAAUGUUAUUCUUGUUUUCUUUUAUUUCUAUGAAGAGUUUAAGAUUAUGAAUGACGAAAGCUGGAGUAUUAGAACCAUAAUUUGCUUUUAAUAAUAUUUCCUGCUGAAUACGUGCAGGUAUUAAGCUAACAGAAUUAUGUUCACGUAUGCGGAACUGGAACAAAGUUCAACUCAUUUCACUAGAGUUUAUGUUAACAAGAAAAGAAAAAAGAUCAAAAUCGCUUGAAGAUAUAAUCAUACUAAUAAACCCAGUGCCGUGUAGCA